rnacentral:rRNA from 1 species
GAUCAUGGCUCAGAUUGAACGCUGGCGGCAUGCCUUACACAUGCAAGUCGAACGGUAACAGGGAGCUUGCUCCGCUGACGAGUGGCGAACGGGUGAGUAAUGUAUCGGAACGUACCAUUCAGUGGGGGAUAACGUAGCGAAAGCUACGCUAAUACCGCAUACGAUCUGUGGAUGAAAGCGGGGGACCUUCGGGCCUCGCGCGAUUAGAGCGGCCGAUAUCAGAUUAGGUAGUUGGUGGGGUAAAGGCCCACCAAGCCGACGAUCUGUAGCUGGUCUGAGAGGACGACCAGCCACACUGGGACUGAGACACGGCCCAGACUCCUACGGGAGGCAGCAGUGGGGGAAUUUUUGGACAAUGGGCGCAAGCCUGAUCCAGCAAUGCCGCGUGCAGGAUGAAGGCCUUCGGGUUGUAAACUGCUUUUGUACGGAACGAAACGGUCCUGGUUAAUACCCGGGGCUAAUGACGGUACCGUAAGAAUAAGCACCGGCUAACUACGUG